rnacentral:misc_RNA from 1 species
GAUGAAGAAAGUAGCGAAAUGCGAUAAGUAGUGUGAAUUGCAGAAUUCCGUGAAUCAUCGAAUCUUUGAACGCACAUUGCGCCUUCUGGUAUUCCGGAAGGCAUGCCUGUUCGAGAGUCAUUAACAACCGUUUCGAUCCCUUUCUUUCAGAAAUUACAAAGAGGAAAAGGGUUUGGUUAUGGUGGAGGAGGGAAAGGGAGCGUUUAGCCUGUAAAAAAAGAGGCUGUGUUCCGCCUCCCCCCCAAAAUUGUACAGGCGGUCGUGUGCGCCCACGCAUCGAGGUGUUGUAAAAGCUGCCACGGCACUUUUCACCUGUGCAGUGCGAGAUUGGCCAGCCGGUUUAAAAACCCCUCCAAACAAUCAAAGGUUGACCUCGGAUCAGGUAGGGAUACCCGCUGAACUUAAGCAUAUCAAUAAGCGGAGGA